rnacentral:rRNA from 1 species
ACGGGAGGCAGCAGUGAGGAAUAUUGGUCAAUGGACGGAAGUCUGAACCAGCCAAGUCGCGUGAAGGAUGAAGGUUCUAUGGAUUGUAAACUUCUUUUGUCUGAGGGUAAAGUGCGGUACGUGUACCGUAUUGCAAGUAUCAGACGAAUAAGCAUCGGCUAACUCCGUGCCAGCAGCCGCGGUAAUACGGAGGAUGCGAGCGUUAUCCGGAUUUAUUGGGUUUAAAGGGUGCGUAGGCGGUUUGUUAAGUCAGUGGUGAAAGCGUGUAGCUCAACUAUACCAAGCCAUUGAUACUGGCGAACUUGAGUGUAAACGAGGUAGGCGGAAUAUGACGUGUAGCGGUGAAAUGCUUAGAUAUGUCAUAGAACCCCGAUUGCGAAGGCAGCUUACCAGCAUACAACUGACGCUGAGGCACGAAAGCGUGGGUAUCAAACAGGAUUAGAUACCCUGGUA